GCAGACACAUUCCAGCCAAUCAGCAGCAGACCCUCCCUCCCAGACCCUCCCACCUCCUGGACAGCAUCCAUUUUACAUUCAUUGUGAAUCUGCAUUCUUAGUGAGCUGUCCAGGAGGUGGGAGGGUCUGGGAGGGAGGGUCUGCUGCUGACUGGCUGGAAUGUGUCUG
rnacentral:miRNA from 1 species